CGCGCGGCACGUGCGGUCCCGGCAGGCCCGGCCCGACCGUUGGCGCGGAGCGGCGCGAGGGGCGGCCCCGCCCGGCCCGCGGAGGGAGCCCGGUGACACGCAGCAGGGAGAAGCGCGGCGCUGGCGAGCCGAGCCGAGGAGCGUCGGGGAGGGCCCGGGCCGGAGGGAGGGCGGCCUGCUCGCCCCGAGGACAGUCCAGGAGGGGAACGGGUCGCCCUGGGAGACCGUGCAGCCUCCGGCCUCGGCGGGUGCCGGGACCAGGCUGGGCAAAGUCCGACCGCACCGCUGACUCGGCCUCGAGCAGGAGGCUGGACCCGCGUUGUCCUGGGCUCCCACGACAGCCUGACAGGAUAAAACCCCUCCGUCCAGCAGGGUAUCGGAAAUGAAGGAGCGUCGUUUGCCAUAUCACGUAAUCCAGACCGCAGAGAAAGGGCCGACUCUGUUCAGAGCAAGACUUGGGGCCAAGCGUCUGCUGCUGCUCUAGGCUGGACCUGCAGCGCACCGAUGUCAGAGGAGGUCGAUCGUGGAUUUCAGUGACUUCUGCCCAACUUCAGCACCGCAGUGAAGUACUCCUGUAGACAGUGUCAAUGCCGAUGGCAGGAUGAACUUAAAGGCAGCCGGGGCCGACAGACCAAUCACUGCUCUUAAGAAGAUCCCUGAAAGAGUUUCUCUUAACACAGAAGAUUCUGGAUUACUUGGUAGCCUGUAAGGCAAGACAGGUUUGGGAAAGUCAGAUCUCUGCUGAGAAAAGUCAAGCAUUUUGCCACUGGAGGAUUUUCAUCUCAGACUUUGGUUCUUAAGACCCUUCUGCGAAAGGCUUUCUGUCAGUGGGCACUCAGCCUCACGCAGGAUAUUGAGUCACCACCACCUGGCAGAGGACAAGCUUUGGAAGCAGUUUCCAUGCAACAACAGUUAUCCGCUGGCAUUUCCAUUCUAUGAAUUCUACACCUGUCAUUGGCUUAUAUUCUAACAGACUUCUACAUUUUCUCAACAUUUGCUCAAUUUACAGAAUCUUUUCUAAUAGGAAUUUCUCAAAAAUGCAUUUACUCCCAGAGGACUUUAAUUAAAAUUUGAGCUGAGACCAGGGCAACAAUGUGACAUAGUUCCUGCUGAUACAAAAACAUUUCUUCCAUAUGCAUGCAUGUAUAUGUAUAUCUUUAGCCAGCAAAAUUGAAAUCACAACAGUAAACAAGCCUGUAAUUCAGUGGCAUUGGAUCUCCUUCCCAGCCCACGCUGGCACCAAACUGCCUUCAGGAAUGAACCAUUCAUAGUUUCUAUUUAAGAACCUUUCUGCCUUUGGCAGAGAACUCCAGCAGCUUACAUAUGACUCAGCCUUCUUUGAGGUCAAAAUUCAGAUUACUUUUCUCCAGGGUACCCAGCAGCAGGUAACUACAAUGUAAACUCUAAUUUUAGUUGUUUUAAAUGAAUUCUAAGCUUAUUUGCCAGAGAGUAGAAGCUAAAGAGAAAAAAUCCCAUGGACAUUAUAGAGAAAUUAUUUCAAAGCUGUACAUUGCUAGAGUCCCUUUUUAGGCUCAGAGUACAACUAAGCAACAUGAAAACUUUGUAUUUUCAAAACUCAUUAUUUCAACUAGGUUGUAUUUUCCUGCCUGGUUUUCCUUCCAGCCUUCAUCACUUUUUUUUUUUUUAAUUAUUUAUAGAAUUCUACAGUGCUUCUCUCUACCCUGUUAGCUGUGUCAGAGACCUGGGGACAGCUGGUUAACUAUAGAGUAGAGGAGAUGGGCUCUUAGGAGGGGAAGGAGUCUACAGACCUGUGAAACUCAGAGAAAGCUUAAGAGGUUACAUUAUCUCCUCUGACCCACCACUGAAACUACACUGAAGGAAAUGGCUGACUGAGAAUCUGGCUGACAUUUCCAAGAGAUGCAGGCACCCCAUUUCCUUUGAAAGAGCAUACA